ACGAACGCUGGCGGCAGGCCUAACACCUGCAAGUCGAGCGAGCAUUUCGGUGCUAGCGGCGGACGGGUGAGUAACGCGUGGGAACGUGCCCUUUUCUGCGGAAUAGUCCUGGGAAACUGGGGGUAAUACCGCAUACGCCCUUUUGGGGAAAGAUUUAUCGGAGAAGGAUCGGCCCGCGUUGGAUUAGGUAGUUGGUGGGGUAAUGGCCCACCAAGCCGACGAUCCAUAGCUGGUUUGAGAGGAUGAUCAGCCACACUGGGACUGAGACACGGCCCAGACUCCUACGGGAGGCAGCAGUGGGGAAUCUUAGACAAUGGGGGCAACCCUGAUCUAGCCAUGCCGCGUGAGUGAUGAAGGCCUUAGGGUUGUAAAGCUCUUUCAGCUGGGAAGAUAAUGACGGUACCAGCAGAAGAAGCCCCGGCUAACUCCGUG
rnacentral:rRNA from 1 species